CGGAGAAGACGACCCAGCCACUAGAGGAAUCGACCGCCGCACCGGAGGAUUUUUCGGCCUUCAAAUGAAGUAAAAUUUCUCCCAUUGGCUCAUUUUUCGAUGCUGAACCUCCCUGUGGCCAAAUCAGAGUCAAACCACUGGCCGAUUGGCCGGAAAACACUGCCGAAGUCCAGCGGCGCCACGCAGGUUUCCUCGAUUUUUGCCUCCGAUGAGGCCCUUCCCGGUUCCAGUUCGAUGUAAUUUUUAUACCACUGUGACCACCGUCCUUUUCUCUGUAGGUUGACAGGAGGAAAACACCAAAUCGCAACUCGCGUCGGAGGAGUCGCCGCACCCGAGAGCUUCGCCGCCGGUAAGUCUCAAUUUUUUGAAAUUUUUUGGCCCACUGAGGGCCCUAGGGGUGUUUUAUCACAGGAACCAAUGCAAG
rnacentral:lncRNA from 1 species